CUGUUUUUCUUUAUUCAGACUUUUAGUUGACUUAUCUCUUCACAAUCAAGCCAUAUGCUAGGGAGUUCUUCCAGCUCCGGCGCCGACAAAUAUCCCGAUUCUAAGGAUUCUUGGUGUUUCAAUUUCUAUGCGUACAAGGCCACAUUCAGACAAAGCAUAUAUAGUGCUUUUGGUUUGCUGCUACUGAAUAAUCAACCAAGUUCAGAUCAGUUUUCUAGGCCUGUUUGGGUCAAUUUCCAAGAACCUUACGUUUCUGUUGUAUUGUUACUUUAAUAAAGAAUAACUUUGUCUGUCUGAUGAUAUGUCUUUCAGGGGAAAGCUAAUAGAUGCAUACCGAUUUUUACACAAAGAGAAGGACAUGGAGCGUGGCUUCACCUGGUCAGGAAAUCCCUUUGGAAAGUAAGACCAUAUGGUUCAUGCACAUAGGAACUUGCCGUUGAAAAUAAAUUGGAUUACUGUUGUGUUGGGCGAGUUGAAGUGAUGUAGAAUCAUAGUGAUUCCAUCUGAAUGUGCAAUCAUUAGAUGUACAUAGGAAGUUAGGAACUGUAUUAUACAGUUUACACCACAUAAUAAACAUACCGGGUGGCUUUCUGGCCGGUAUAGAGGCAAAAGGAUGAGGACAGAGUACUUCAUAGCUGCAGAGAAACUCAAAGAUAGGAUUGUUUCAUGUGAGAUGCACUGGCAAGGGAUGAAUUACAAGGUUGGCUGACUGCGGUGCAGAAGGACUACUUUAGACUUCUACAUUAUCAAGAGUUGCAUUUCAAUGAUUGUGGAGAUCGUGUUUCUCAGUUGUUACAUGUUGAAUUAGCUGCCCCAGCUUCACAGUUUAAAAACAAUGAUAUUCUAGAAGACCUCAUGAUUCAAAUUUGUGUAUAGUAAUUAGCUAAAGUACCAGAUUUUGGAUCAUGUAAAACAAUGUUUGAUGUGUAUAUGCAACACAUUUAUAUAGUGUACCUAAUAUUUGUGAAUUCAAUAAUGUCCAUGAUA